CAUCUGCCACCCCGGAUGAAUGUUAGAAAUAUUACACAUGUUAGACUUCGGAGAUGGACGCACCAUCGAUGAGACAAAGGUUCACUCUGAGCAGAAU
rfam:Picea glauca, whole genome shotgun sequence.